AAAAGUAAAAUUUCUGUGAGCUAAAUUUAAAUAUAAAGUAUAUUAUAUAUUAUAUUAAAUUCUUCCAAAACCGAGGCAGAAAUGAUGGUGGAGAGAGAAAGAGAAAGAGAAAGAGAAAGGGGUGACGAUGGAGUCCAAUUCGAAAGCGUCAAAAAGGGAAACUACGAAAUCCAGAGAGAAGAAUUUGGAGGGUCCCUCAAAUCUAAGCCAUGAGCUGUUGCUUUUUUGACAUUUCUCACUUUUUCUUUCCCUUCUCUCUCUUUCUAUGCACUAACCCACAAACUCACUUAUCAAUUCAAAAAUAUGAUAGAGAAUGUACGAAAAUGAAAGACUACCUAGCUAACCUAAGCUAUUUCUUCAUCAUUUUCUUAUUCUAAAUUAAAUCUUAUCCUUCCCCACCCAUCUUCCUUUACCACCUUAUUAAUUAGUUUUAAAACUCUAAAUAUCUACAUUUUCUAUAUAACAUCACCCCACU
rnacentral:lncRNA from 1 species